CCUACGGGUGGCAGCAGUGAGGAAUAUUGGUCAAUGGGCGCAAGCCUGAACCAGCCAAGUCGCGUGAGGGAUGACGGUCCUAUGGAUUGUAAACCUCUUUUGUCGGGGAGCAAGGCCCGCCACGUGUGGCGGGAAGGAGAGUACCCGAAGAAAAAGCAUCGGCUAACUCCGUGCCAGCAGCCGCGGUAAUACGGAGGAUGCGAGCGUUAUCCGGAUUUAUUGGGUUUAAAGGGUGCGUAGGCGGAAGGUUAAGUCAGCGGUCAAAUGUCGGUGCUCAACACCGGCCUGCCGUUGAAACUGGUCUUCUUGAGUGAGCGAGAAGUAUGCGGAAUGCGUGGUGUAGCGGUGAAAUGCGUAGAUAUUAGGAGGAACACCGGUGGCGAAGGCGGCUUACUGGACCGUAACUGACGUUGAGGCUCGAAAGCGUGGGGAGCAUACAGGAUUAGAUACCCUUGUAGUC
rnacentral:rRNA from 1 species